AACUACUUUCUCUCUCUGUCUGAUGAUCUGACCAGUGUGAGACGUGGAGACACAAACCAGCAGCUUCCUGAGAAUCCAGAGAGAUUCACCUGGUAUACAGAAGUUCUGGGCUCUGAGGGCUUCAGCUCAGGGAAACACAGCUGGGAGGUGGAGGUGGGAGACCAUCCUUACUGGAAUUUAGCUUUUGUUAAAGAGUCAGUUGACAGGAAGGGAAAGAGAGGUGCUUCACCAAAAGAUGGAGUCUGGUGUUUAGUUCAUCGCAGUGGAAAAUACAUUAAUGGAGCUGGUCAGACUGUCAGAGUGAAGAAGAGUCUCCAGAGGAUCAGAGUCCAGCUGGACUAUGACAGGGGGGACGUGUCCUUCUACCACCCUGAAGACAUGACUCACAUCUGCACUCACAGAGACACUUUCACUGAGAAACUCUUCCCAUGGUUUAGUGUUGGAAAGUCUGGUGAUGCUAAAACUGCUGAUAUCAAAAUCUGUCAAACUGAUGUUUCUCUGUGAUGUUCAGUGAAGUCAAAGUGAUUCUGUUCUUGUUUGAUGUUUAUUAUAGUUUUUUUGUUGCUAAUUUCUGUAAAUAUUUUCAAAUUAAAGAAUGAGAAGCUGAAAAUGAGAGGGAUGAUGUUCUAAAUAGUAUUUAAGUUUUAAGUUUGCCUUUAAAAGCCUUUUAGUUUUAAAUUACCUGACCACAUGAAGCCUCAUCCUACUUUAUCUAUCUUCUUCAUUUAUUUAUUAAUCAUCUAUCUCUGAAACUAAAUAUGGAAAUAGAAUUAUUAAUCACUGCUUAUUUUUUGUGUAAUCUGAAGUAUCUUUAAUUACAUUCAGAUGUUGUGUUUGCAGAGUUCUACUAAAUAAAAUACUUUAUUCUCAUUCACACCUUUCUGUUCCAUUCCUCA